AUGUUGAACGACGUGUCUAAAAGAUUACCAAAAAGUUCCGAAAGUACGGAGGCUGAUGUACGCGAAGAUGAGGAACAAGCCACCAAAUUUCAAGAGAUCAUUGACUUGCUCGUCGCAGCAGGCUACUUCAGAGCGCGGAUAAAGGGCUUGUCAAAUUUUGACAAGGUGGUCGGUGGUAUGACUUGGUGUAUAGAAUCAUGCAACUUUGAUGUAGACGUGGAUCUACUUUUCCAAGAGAAUCUCACGAUUGGUCAGAAAAUUUCUUUGACGGAGAAAAUUGUGGUCAUGCUUCUCAAAAUGAACUGUCCACACCGAAUAGAGCCACAUCAGAUACAAGGUUUAGACUGUAUCCAUAUAUUCCCAGUUAUUCAGUGGUUGGUAAAACGUUCUAUGGAAAUGCGACAGGAAAUGGCAGGCUUUGUGAGAUCUUUUGCGUUGAAUCAAUUUCAUAAAAAGCACUCGUUCAGUGAAGAUGCUGAGAUUGGAGCGACAGCCAACGAGAACGUCAUUAGGAAUUUACGUUUAGUCAAGAAAGCGUACGAACCGCGACGUUUGUUCAAGCAAAAGGAAGGUUUCAUCAAAGAUAAAUCAAGCAGAUUUAUUGGUACAGUAUUGGAAUAUGAAGCACUCUUUGAUGUUGUUAAAAAUACGACGACAACGUCCUCAGAAUCGAAAAGUAAUGAUCCAAAAUACGAAUCGAGUAACGAAAAGAGUGAAAAGAAUACUACUGAAGAGAUUACUGCUGCUCUGGCUAUCAUCGAAGAAAAUACGGCGCGUUUAAGCAUGAGCACGGUCGGAAACAUCGUUGGUAUACAGGCGCAAGAAAUCGCCAAAGUGGCAGAAAAAUAUGCAGCCAUGUCUACCUCUGAAACGGAGGAUAACGGAGUCACUGGCUCGUCCCGUGCUUUGAUCGCGUUGCAGAAGCAAAAAGCAACAUUGCAAUCUAAAGUUAACAAAUUGAGCAAAGAGAGAGACAACUUGUCGGAUAAACUUACUGAAACAGUGGAAAAGACGAAACAGCAUCGCGAAAAGAGAGAGGCCAUCGAGCGCUCGUUUAAAAAAAUUCAGGAAGUUAGAAUUAAUGAUAACGACAGUGUUUUCAAACGAUUAGAGGAGCUUCUCACAGUACUUGACGGAUUGAAAGAACAGGAACACAAUUUCCGAGAACACUGCAAGUCUGAUCUGAAUCUCUUUCGGGACAUGUUGCAAGAGAUUGAAGAUGGUGCUCCAGCGGAAGAGGAGGAUCGCGUUAAAGAGUACGAGGAGCAAAAGGAAGCUGUCGCGCGAAUGCGAUUGCAGCUGGCUAAAAAGAACAGAACCAUCGCCUCUUUGACUAGGCAAUUGGACGAUGUUCCUGGACGUUCUGAAUUGACGCAAUACCAACGGCGUUUCAUGGAACUCUACAAUCAAGUUUCUGCCAAGCAUAAGGAAACGAAGCAAUAUUACACGUUGUAUAAUACCAUGGAUGAUACGAAGCUGUAUCUGAGUAAGGAAUUGACGUUGCUAAAUUCCAUCCAAGAUAACUAUAACGAGGCUAUGGCAUCAGCAAGCGGCAAAGAACAAUUUUUGAAACAAUUCGAGAACAUUGUGGCCGGAGUAAAACGUAAUAAAGCCAUGGUGGAGAAACGGUGCGUCGAUGAGAAAAAUAGGCGAGACGCUCUUAGUCGGCAACUCGUCACGCUUGUGGAACAGCAACGUAAAUACGUUGCUGCAGUCAGACAGCUCACAAUCGAGUGUCGCAGAAAUGAAGCGUUGCUAGCUCAACUACGCGGUCCAUAGAUUCUGACUUCACAGAUACGAGCCAGGUGUGAGUCGGAUGGAAGUAAUCCCUCCGUCUAGGAGGAGGACAGGAGUAGGGAAAAAAAAACGAAAAUGAAAGAUGGAACGAGAUCUCUCGAUAUGAAGGAUUAUGGCUCAAUAAGCGGAUACAUAUCUGUACGUGUACAAACGAGCAACUUUGCACUCGUCCAAGAUUCAGCAGGCGGCCAUCAAGCAUCCCUGGUGCCAGCCACGCUACGAAUUCUACGUCAGCGAUCAGGCGGUAUGCACGAUUAGUGUGUGGUAUUAACGAUUAGAAUAGUUCAAUGAUAAAAACAACAAAAAAAGGAGGAAUGAAUGUAAAAAGUGAGUGAA
rnacentral:misc_RNA from 1 species